UUAUGGCUCAGGACGAACGCUGGCGGCGUGCUAACACAUGCAAGUUGAACGGUAUGACAUGGAAGCUUGCUGAAGUGUCAUAUAGUAGCGGACGGGUGAGUAAUGCAUGAGAAGCUGCCAUUGGGAGGGGGACAACAGUUGGAAACGGCUGCUAAUACCCCCGUAUGCCGGAAGGUGAAAGGGAGCGAUCCGCCCGAUGAGGUGCUCAUGUCCUAUCAGCUGGUUGGUGGGGUAACGGCCUACCAAGGCGACGACGGGUAGCCGGCCUGAGAGGGUGAACGGCCACACUGGAACUGAGAUACGGUCCAGACUCCUACGGGAGGCAGCAGUGGGGAAUAAUUGGGCAAUGGGGGCAACCCUGACCCAGCGACGCCGCGUGGGGGAAGACGGCCUUCGGGUUGUAAACCUCUUUUGUACGGGAAGAAGGAAGUGACGGUACUGUACGAAUAAGUCCCGGCUAACUACGUGCCAGCCGCCGC
rnacentral:rRNA from 1 species